AAUUAUUAAUCUAGCCUUAUUCAGACUGAUUUUUCCACUGAUUUCUAACAAGAUCCUUGUCUCAGAAUGGAAAUCACUGGAGACAACAUCAAGUUCAAUUCAGAGCAAAUGUAACAAUUUAGAGGCAACU
rnacentral:lncRNA from 1 species